rnacentral:rRNA from 1 species
GAUGAACGCUGGCGGCGUGCCUAAUACAUGCAAGUCGAGCGAACAGAUGAGGAUCUUGCUCCUCGGACGUUAGCGGCGGGCGGGUGAGUAACACGUGGAUAACCUACCUAUAAGGCUGGGAUAACUUCGGGAAACUGGAGCUAAUACCGGACAAUAUAUUGAACGGCAUGGAUCAAAAGUGAACGACGGUUUUGCUGGCACUUAUAGAUGGAUCCAUGCCGGAUUAGCUAGUUGGUACGGUAACGGCUUACCAAGGCAACGAUGCGUAGCCGACCUGAGAGGACGACCAGCCACACUGGGACUGAGACACGGCCCAGACUCCUACGGGAGGCAGCAGUAGGGAAUCUUGCACAAUGGGCGCAAGCCUGACCCAGCAACGCCGCGUGCGUGAAGAAGGUCUUCGGAUCGUAAAACUCUUUUGUUAGGGAAGAAAAAAUGUGUAAUAAUCUCCGGACGGCAUGACGGUACCUGAAGAGAAAGCAACGGCUAACUACGUG